UGGAGCUUCAAUCUGUCCAGAUUUAUUAGCUUUGGAAACAAACUCUGGGAGCCAUGCAACAGAUAACCAACCGGUCCCCUGGGCCGGGCCCUUCAUUUGAAGCAAGCAGCUGUAGCAGUGCCACGCUGCUGUAUGUCCAGUCUGAACAGCUUUAUUACUUUUUAAUCAACUCUUCCUACCGGCUACCUCUGCUCACUGCUCUAAAGGCGGAAGGUGAGAGAAAACAAGACGAGGACAUCAAUUUCAGAGCAUUCAGAAACCAAGGAAUCACUUCAUUCCAAUAAAAAGGACUUUUGGAAGG